UCACGUAGGGCCUGAUCCAAAGUCCACUGAAGUCAUCAGAAUUCUUUUCACUGACUUCAGAGGGCUUUGGAUCAGGCUCUUAUUGA
rnacentral:pre_miRNA from 1 species